rnacentral:tRNA from 1 species
GCCUGGGUGGCUCAGUCAGUUGAGUGUCCGACUUCGGCUCAGGUCAUGAUCUCACGGUUCGUGGGUUCGAGCCCCACGUCGGGCU